rnacentral:tRNA from 1 species
AUCUUUCUAGUAUAAUAAGUUACAAGCGACUUCCAAUCGUUUAAUCCUGAUUCAGCCCAGGGAAAGAUA